rnacentral:rRNA from 1 species
GUUGACCUCGGAUCAGGUAGGGAUACCCGCUGAACUUAAGCAUAUCAAUAAGCGGAGGAAAAGAAACCAACAGGGAUUACCUCAGUAACGGCGAGUGAAGCGGUAAGAGCUCAAAUUUGAAAGCUGGCUCCUUCGGGGUCCGCAUUGUAAUUUGCAGAGGAUGUUUCGGGAGCAGCCCCCAUCUAAGUGUCCUGGAACGGACCGUCAUAGAGGGUGAGAAUCCCGUAUGGGAUGGGGGUGUCUGCGCCCAUGUGAAACUCCUUCGACGAGUCGAGUUGUUUGGGAAUGCAGCUCUAAAUGGGUGGUAAAUUUCAUCUAAAGCUAAAUAUUGGCCGGAGACCGAUAGCGCACAAGUAGAGUGAUCGAAAGAUGAAAAGCACUUUGAAAAGAGAGUUAAAAAGCACGUGAAAUUGUUGAAAGGGAAGCGCUUGCGAUCAGAUCCGCCUUGGGGGUUCAGCCGGCUUUCGUGCCGGUGUACUU